AUUGAACGCUGGCGGCAUGCCUUACACAUGCAAGUCGAACGGCAGCGCGGGAGCAAUCCUGGCGGCGAGUGGCGAACGGGUGAGUAAUAUAUCGGAACGUGCCCAGUAGUGGGGGAUAGCCCGGCGAAAGCCGGAUUAAUACCGCAUACGAUCUACGGGUGAAAGGGGGGAUAGCAAGACCUCUCGCUAUUGGAGCGGCCGAUAUCAGAUUAGGUAGUUGGUGGGGUAAAGGCCUACCAAGCCUGCGAUCUGUAGUUGGUCUGAGAGGACGACCAUCCACACUGGGACUGAGACACGGCCCAGACUCCUACGGGAGGCAGCAGUGGGGAAUUUUGGACAAUGGGCGCAAGCCUGAUCCAGCCAUGCCGCGUGCAGGAUGAAGGCCUUCGGGUUGUAAACUGCUUUUGUACGGAACGAAAAGGUCUUUUCUAAUAAAGAAGGCUGAUGACGGUACCGUAAGAAUAAGCACCGGCUAACUACGUGCCAGCCGCCGCGGUAAAAC
rnacentral:rRNA from 1 species